UACAGAGGGUGCAAGCGUUAAUCGGAAUUACUGGGCGUAAAGCGCAUGUAGGUGGUUGUGAAAGUUUGAUGUGAAAGCCCUGGGCUUAACCUGGGAAUGGCGUUGAAAACUACAUAACUUGAGUCUGAUAGAGGGUAGUGGAAUUUCCGGUGUAGCGGUGAAAUGCGUAGAGAUCGGAAAGAACAUCAGUGGCGAAGGCGGCUACCUGGGUCAAGACUGACACUGAGGUGCGAAAGCGUGGGGAGCAAACAGG
rnacentral:rRNA from 1 species